rnacentral:lncRNA from 1 species
CCCAGGCUAGGGGUCCAGUCGGAGCUACAGCUGCUGGCCUAUGCCACAGCCACAGCAACAUCAGAUCCAAGCUGCAUCUGCAACCUAUACCACAGCUCACAGAAAUGCCAGAUCCUUAACCCACUGAGCGAGGCCAGGGAUCCAAACCACAACCUCAUGGUUCCUAGUUAGAUUCAUUUCUGUUGCACCAUGACGGGAACUCCUCUACCUCAUCUUCUUAAUCCAUUCAUCUGUCGAUGGACAUUUAGGUUGUUUCCACGUCUUGGCUAUUGUGCUGCAAUGAACAUGAGUGCAUACAUUUUAGACAAACAUCAUGGUAACCACAAAACAUAAAUCUAAAGACAAGAUACAAGACAUAAAAAAGAAACUGGGAAAAGCGUCAUAGAAAAUCACCAAAGUAAAAUGGCAGAGAGAAACGCACUAACGAAGACACAAAAAAGAUACAAAGCAAUCAGAAUAUAGAAGAUACAAUAGCAACCCUCAUUUAUCAAUAAUCACCCUAAAAACAAGUAGAUUGAAUUCACCAAUCAAAAGAUACAGAGUUGUUGGAUUAAAAAAUAAGACACAGAUAUAUGCUUCUUCCAGAAGACAACUUCAGCUAUAAAGACAAAUCUAGACUCAAAGUAAAGGAAUAGAAGAUAAUACUCCAAGCAAAUGGCAGCCAAAAGAAAGCAAGUACAGCCAUAUUCAUAUUAGGCAAAAUACACUUCAAGACAAAAAAGUUUUAAAAACUAAGAGCCAGUGUAUAAAAAUAAUAUAUGGACUUCCUGUUGUGGCUCAGUGGAAACGAAUCUGACUAGUAUCCAUGAGGACACAGGUUUGACCCCUGGCCUUGCUCAGUGAGUUAAGGUUCUGUCAUUGCCAUGAGCUGUGGUGUAGGUCACAGACACCACUCAGAUCUGGCAUUGCUGUGGCUGUGGCAUAGGCCAGUAGCUACAGCUCUGAUUCAACUCCUAGCCUGAGAACCUCCAUAUGCCACAGGUGCGGCCCUAAAAAAGACAAAAAAUAAUAAUAAUAAAUGAAGUUGACAAUUCUUUAGCUAGACUAAAAAAGAAAAGAGAGAAGACUCAAAUAAAAUCAGAAAUUAAAGAGGAGACACUACAACUAAUUCCAGGAGUUCCCAUCGUGGCUCAGUGGUAAUGAACCUGACUAGUAUCCAUGAGGAUGCGGGUUCAAUCCCUGGCCUUGCUCAGUGGGUUAAGGAUCUGGCAUUGCCAUGAGCUGUGGUGUAGAUAUUAGACAUGGCUUGGAUCCUGUGUUGCUGUGGCUGUAGUGUAGGCCAGCAGCUACAGCUCUGAUUUGACCCCUAGCCCAGGAAUUUCCAUAUGCCACAGGUGCAGCCCUAAAAAGGAAAAAAAAAUGAUUCCAAAGAAAUACAUAGGAACACGAGACUAACUACCAUGAUGAAUUAUAUGUAAACAAAUCAGACAACCUAGAAGAAAUGAGUAGAUUCCUAUAAACAUAAAACUUACCAAGGAAAAAGAUAAAGAUAUCAUAUGGUAUUUGUCUUUCUCUUUCUGACUUACUUCACUUAGUAUGAGAAUCUCUAGUUCCAUCCAUGUUACUGCAAAUGGCAUUAUUUUGUUCUUUUUAUGGCUGAGAAGUAUUCCAUUGUGUGUAUAUACCACAUCUGUCUUAAUCCAUUCAUCUAUCAAUGGACAUUUAGGUUGUUUCCAUGUCUUAGCUAUUGUGAAUAGUGCUUCAGUAAACAUAGGAGUGCAUAUAUCUUUCAGUCUAAAAUAUAACACAGAUGAACCUAUCUACCAAACAGAAAGAGACUCAUGGUCAUAGAGAACAGACUUGCAGUUGCCAAGUGAGAGGGAGAAAGAAGUGGGGUGGAUGGGGAAUUUGGGGUUGGUAGAUGCAAACUAUUACAUUUAGGUUGGAUAAGCAAUAGGUCCUACUGUAUAGCAUGGGGAACUAUAUCCAGUCUCUUGGGAUAGACAAUAAUAGAAGAUAUUACGUAUGUAAAUGUCAAAUAGCUAUAUAGUACACCUGAUGCUAACAUAAUAUUGUACAGCAACUGUAUUUCAAUUUAAACUUGGAGGACAAGAAUAUCAUUUUUUAAAUGUGUAAAGGGAAAAAAAACCACCAUCAUUAUGUCACCUUAAAACUCCAAACAUCAUAAAUAUAUCCUUCAAAAAUGAAGAUAAAUAAAGAUAUAUUUGGCCAAACAGGUGAAAGAACUCAUCCUUUCCAGAGCUGCAUUACUAAAUUCUGAAAGAUGUUCUAAAUGCUGAAGAAAAAUAUCACCUAGAAAUCCAGUUCUAUAAGAAGAAAUGGAAAUGCCAAUAGAUCAAUAAAUUAAAACAACCUUUAAAAAAUAGACAGCUUAAUUUUCUGUGUCGAUAUACAUUAUGUAUAAUUCUUUAUUCUCCAAAGCAUAGUCAGCAUCCUUUUAGAAAUAGUUGGAAAAGAUCCAUAGAGCUUUAAUACUACUAUUUUUCUGAUCCAUGUAUUAACCCACCUUGUAAGUAGAUGCACUCAGAAACUAAACCUACACAGGUAUAUUUCAGAAUAGUUUCAUAAGAAUUUCCAUUCUACUAUAAAUUAUCUUUUAGAGAGGGAUAUUUCGUCAACUUUGAGAAUCAGCAGAAUUUUUUUUUUUUACGUCAUUGGCACAAAUGCAAAGACAAGAUUGCAGAAACAUGUUCAGAUUUAUAGCAUUCAUAGUCUAAAAAGUAUUUGGUGUUUCACAAGAUAUGAGAAUUAGUACUUCUUCUCUAUUUGUCUUUAAAUACUUAUAUUUACUUACAUUAAGAUGUGAAUAAUAAUUCUUUUUUUUUUUUUCUUUUUAGGGCCACACCUGCGACAUAUGGAAGUUCCCAGGCUUGAGGUCAAAUUGGAGCUGCAGCUGCAGGCCUACACCACAGCCACAGCAAUGCUGGACCCAAGCUGCAUCUGCAACCUUUGCCAUCACUUGCCAGAUCCUCAACACACUGAGCAACGGCAGGGAUCAAACCCACAUACUUAUGGAGAUGUUGGGUUCUUAACCCGCUGAGCCACAGUGGAAACUCCUGAAUAAUAAUUCAUUUUGCAGCACAACCACUUGCUUUUUAACAUGAUUACAUUCAGAAUUAAGAAAUGAAAUUUCACAAGAUAGUUCAAAUAUUGACUUCUUUAAAAUCUGAAGAAGCUUUUUCUUGAAAGAAAUGUAACAGAGGCAGCAUACUAUAGAACUGGAAUGAUAGAAUAAUGAUCAUGUAAUGCUGUAAGAAAUCAAAAAAUAAACAUGAAUGAAACUAAACAAACAAGUAUAUAUUGUGACAACAAUGAGAGUUAAGUGAUUUAUGGAAAUUAUGAGCACAUGUUUUCAUAAAAAUAUUUUUAUUUACUUAGCAAACACAUACACCAGUCGUACACAAAAAGCAAUUUUGAGUAAUUUCUAAUAUUAGUUAAUAUUUAUAAAAGUCCUGAGCAUUUGUUACAGUUAUUAUAACCACUAAAAGCAAAUGGAGGGAUAGAGAGCUACAUAAAAGAAUAGUUUAACAUGGCUAUAAAGUAACCUCUGGAGCAUGUCAGACAUAUUGCUUUUAAACUCUACAUUAGGCUACCUCAUACUGGAGAAUUUGCCUUCACUGUAUUGAAAUAUUUAUCUUAGAAUAUAUUGAGAUAUUGUUGUUUUAGUUUCAUCAAGAUAUUGACAUAUAAUACAUGUAAAUUUAAGAUGUACAUGAUGCAAUACACAUACACAUUGUGAAGUAAUUACCACAAUAAUAUUGGUUAACACUUUCAGCCUUUCAUGUAUUUCCCAUUUAUUUUUUUAGAUAAAACUUUUAAGAUUCAUUCUCUAAACUUUCAAGUAUGUAAUACAUUAUCGUUAAUUAUAGCCAUCACACUGUACGUUAGAUCUUCAAAAGUUACAUGUUGUAAACUUUGAGAAUCAUAACCCAUUUCUCCCACACCACAUCCCCUGGCAAUCACCAUUCUACUCUAUAUUUCUUUGAAUUUGGCUGUUUUAUCUUCCAUAUGUAAUCAAGAACAUGUAGUAUUUGUCUUUCCCUUUCUGAAUCAUUUCAUCCAGAAUAAUGCCCGUAAGGUACGUUCAUGUUGUCACAAAUGUCAGGAUUUCCUUUUUUUAUGGUCGAUAAUACACACACACACACACACACACACACACACACACAUAUAUACUAUAUAUGCAUAUAUACACACAUAUACACACACACAUAUAUAUACGCACACACACAUCUUCUUUAUCCAUUCAUCUGUUGAUGGACACCUAGGUUGAUUCUAUAUCAUGGCAAUUAUGAAUAAUGCUACAGUAAACACAAGAGUGCAGAUAUUUCUUUGAGAGUGACUGCAAUUCUUUUGAAUAUAUACACAGAAGUGGGAUUCCUGGAUCAUAACAUAGUUAUAGUUUUAAUUUUUAAGGAAUCUUCGUACUGUUUUCUAUAAUUGGCUAUACCAAUUUACAUUUCCAUCAAGAGUGAACAAGUUUUCCCUUUUCUCCACAGCCCCACCAAAGCUAGUUAUUGGCUAUCUUUUUGAUGGUAGUCAUUCUGACACAUGUGUGGUAUUAGCUCCUUGUGGUUUUGAUAUGUGUUUUCUUAAUGGUUAGUGAUGCUAAGAAAUUUUUGUGGUACCUGUUGGCCAUCUAUAUGUCUUCUUUGGAAAAAAUGUCUUUUUACAUCCACUCCCCAUUUUUAAUAAGAUUAUUUACGGGUUUUGUUUUUUGUUUUUGUUUUUGGGUUUUUUUUUUUUUUUGCUGUUGAGUUGUAUGAUUUCCUUAUAUAUUUUAGAUAUUAAGGCCUUAUCAGACAAAUGGUUUGAAAAUUUCCUCCCAUUCAAUGGGCUGCCUUUUUAUUUUCUUGGUAGUUACCUUCACUAUGCAAAAGAUUUUUAGUUUGAAGUAGUCCCAUUGCAUAUAUUUUGCUUUUGUUUCCCUGGCUUGGGGAGGUUGAUUUGAAAAAAUAUCACUAACCAAUGUUAAAGAUCGUAUGGCCCAUGUUAUCUUCUAUGAGCUUUAUGGUUUUAGGUCUUCUGUUUAAGUCUUUAAUCCAUUUUGAGUUUAUUUUUGUAUAUGGUGUGAGUAAAUCAUCCAGUUUUAUUCUUUUACAUGUAACUGUCCAAUUUUCUCCACACCACUUGCUGAAGAGACUGUCUUCCCCAUUGUAUAUUAUUGCCACUUUGUCAUAUAUUAAUUGACCAGAUAAUGUAGGUUUAUUUCCAGACUCUAUGUUUCCUUCCAUUGAUCUAUGAGUCUGUUUUUCUGCCAGUACCAUGAAUUUUUUAUUACUAUAGCUUUAUAAUAUGGUUUGAAAGCAGGAAAUGUGAUACUUCCUGCUUUAUUCUUAUUUCCCAGGAUUGCUUUGACUAUUCAGGGUCUUUUGUGUUUCCAUACAAGUUUUAGAACUAUUUGUUCCAGUUCUGUGAAAAAUCAUCUGUGUUUUGAUAAGGAUUGAAUUGAAUCUGUAGCUUGCCCGAAUAGUAUGGUCACUUUAACAAUAUCAAUUCUUGCAAUUCCUGAGCAUGGUAUAGCUUUCCAUCUGAUUAUAUCAUCUUCAAUUGCUUUCAUUAAUACACUAUAGAUUUUCAAAUACAAGUCUUUUACCUCCUUGGUUAGAUUCGUUCCUAGGCAUUUCACUCCUUUUAAUGCAAUUGUAAAUGGGAAUGUUUUCUUAAUUUCCUUUUCUGAUAGUUCAUCAUUAGAGUAUAAAAACAUAACAAAUUUCUGUAUAUUAAUUUUGUAUUGUGAAAAAUUACUGAAUCAGGAGUUCCCACUGUGGCUCAGUGAUUAACGAAUCCAACUAGGGACCAUGAGGUUGCAGGUUUGAUCCCUGGCCUCACUCAGUGGGUUAAGGAUCCAGUGUUUGCCUUGAGCUGUGGUAUAGGUCACAUAUGCAGCUUGGAUUCCACAUUGCUGUGGCUCUGACAUAGGCCAGCAGCUACAGAUCCGAUUGGACCCCUAGCCUGGGAACCUCCAUAUGCUGUGGG